GGGCCCGCACAAGCGGUGGAGCAUGUGGUUUAAUUCGAUGAUACGCGAGGAACCUUACCAGGGCUUAAAUGUAGUGGGACAGGUCUAGAGAUAGACCCUUCUUCGGACUCAUUACAAGGUGCUGCAUGGUUGUCGUCAGCUCGUGCCGUGAGGUGUCAGGUUAAGUCCUAUAACGAGCGCAACCCACAUCCCUAGUUGCCAGCGAGUAAUGUCGGGAACUCUAACGAAACUGCCAGUGCAAACUGUGAGGAAGGUGGGGAUGACGUCAAAUCAUCACGGCCCUUACGUCCUGGGCUACACACGUGCUACAAUGGCCGGUACAGAGAGCAGCCACUUCGCAAGAAGGAGCGAAUCUAUUAAAACCGGUCUCAGUUCGGAUCGGAGUCUGCAACUCGACUCCGUGAAGCUGGAAUC
rnacentral:rRNA from 1 species